rnacentral:rRNA from 1 species
GAUGAACGCUAGCGGCAGGCUUAACACAUGCAAGUCGAGGGGUAUAGUUCUUCGGAAUUAGAGACCGGCGCACGGGUGCGUAACGCGUAUGCAAUCUACCUUUCACAGAGGGAUAGCCCAGAGAAAUUUGGAUUAAUACCUCAUAGUAUAGCAGUUUCGCAUGAAACCACUAUUAAAGUCACAACGGUGAAAGAUGAGCAUGCGUCCCAUUAGCUAGUUGGUAAGGUAACGGCUUACCAAGGCAACGAUGGGUAGGGUCCUGAGAGGGAGAUCCCCCACACUGGUACUGAGACACGGACCAGACUCCUAGGGAGGCAGCAGUGAGGAAUAUUGGACCAAUGGGCGCAAGCCUGAU